GAUGAAGAACGCAGCGAAAUGCGAUAAGUAAUGUGAACUGCAGAAUUCAGUGAAUCAUCGAGUCUUUGAACGCACAUUGCGCCCCCUGGUAUUCCGGGGGGCAUGCCUGUCCGAGCGUCAUUGCUGCCCAUCAAGCACGGCUUGUGUGUUGGGUCCUCGUCCCCCCCGGGGGACGUGCCCGAAAGGCAGCGGCGGCACCGCGUCCGGUCCUCGAGCGUAUGGGGCUUUGUCACCCGCUCUGCAGGCCCGGCCGGCGCUGGCCGACGCGAAAGCAACCAUUUUUUCUCCAGGUUGACCUCGGAUCAGGUAGGGAUACCCGCUGAACUUAAGCAUAUCAAUAACGGAGGA
rnacentral:misc_RNA from 1 species